CAUCAACAGUCCGAGGCAAGGUGCUCUCACGAAUCGCACCUUCCUAUCUCGUCAAAACGUCCAAGAACUUCAGCGUUAUCUGGUUAAGUUCUGGAGUGAAGGCGGCCAAGAUUGGCGUUCGAAUCGGAGUUUCAAGAAAACGUGAUUUUCGGAGAGAGGGAGGAG